UACGUAGGGUGCAAGCGUUGUCCGGAAUUAUUGGGCGUAAAGAGCUCGUAGGCGGUCUGUUGCGUCGGCUGUGAAAACCCGAGGCUCAACCUCGGGCCUGCAGCCGAUACGGGCAGACUAGAGUUCGGCAGGGGAGACUGGAAUUCCUGGUGUAGCGGUGGAAUGCGCAGAUAUCAGGAGGAACACCAAUAGCGAAGGCAGCUCGCUGGGACGGUACUGACGCUGAGGCGCGAAAGCCGUGGGGGAG
rnacentral:rRNA from 1 species